GACGAACGCUGGCGGCGUGCCUAAUACAUGCAAGUCGAGCGGAUGGAAGGAAGCUUGCUUCCUAAAGUCAGCGGCGGACGGGUGAGUAACACGUGGGCAACCUGCCCCUAAGAUCGGGAUAACUUCGGGAAACCGGAGCUAAUACCGGAUAUGAUUAUGUCUCACAUGAGAUGUCAUGGAAAGACGGUUUCGGCUGUCACUUAGGGAUGGGCCCGCGGCGCAUUAGCUAGUUGGUGAGGUAACGGCUCACCAAGGCGACGAUGCGUAGCCGACCUGAGAGGGUGAUCGGCCACGCUGGGACUGAGACACGGCCCAGACUCCUACGGGAGGCAGCAGUAGGGAAUCUUCCGCAAUGGACGAAAGUCUGACGGAGCAACGCCGCGUGAGUGAAGAAGGUUUUCGGAUCGUAAAACUCUGUUGUUAGGGAAGAACAAGUACCAUAGUGACUGAUGGUACCUUGACGGUACCUAACCAGAAAGCCACGGCUAACUACGUGCCAGCCGCCGCAGUAA
rnacentral:rRNA from 1 species